UACCUACGGGACGCAGCAGUGAGGAAUAUUGGUCAAUGGCCGGAAGGCUGAACCAGCCAAGCCGCGUGAAGGACGAAGGUGCCAAGCAUUGUAAACUUCUUUUGUCAAGGGACAAAAUCAGGCUCGAGAGCCUGACCGAGGGUACUUGAAGAAAAAGCAUCGGCUAACUCCGUGCCAGCAGCCGCGGUAAUACGUAGGGGGCAAGCGUUAUCCGGAUUUACUGGGUGUAAAGGGAGCGUAGGUGGCAGGGCAAGUCAGAUGUGAAAACCCGGGGCUCAACUCCGGGAGUGCAUUUGAAACUGUCC
rnacentral:rRNA from 1 species